CACUGUUCAUAAUACAUAAAUUAUUAGGGGUAAGAUUAAACACGCUGAUGUGAAAAUGGUGGAAGGUAUUCUAAUCUGGAAUCAUCUUAGAUUCCACCGGAGAUGGUAAAUUUGAAAGCCAUAGGAUCAUAUGUAACAGAGGUCUCAGCAAAACUGAGUUAGAUUAAGCUAAACGAAAAUUUGUUAUAUGAAAUUAGGAAGCUCACCAGUUUCCCUGGACGACUAGAGUCAGACGGAGAGCUCCCAGACUGCACUCAGAGGGCUGCCUGCGGAAAGGUUAGACAUUUUCUCCUGAAGAAUCCUUGCCACCAGCAGUUUCGUCGCUCAGCUCAUUGGCCGUAAAGCAGUUUUGCCGUAAAAGAUAAAAUAACUGAUUGACGGUUUGGUUUCAAUUGGUUAACAGUUUGAUUUUAUUUCUCUAUUGAUACAUUACUAUUUUUAUGAUAUAUGUAUAUUUCAGGCCUCAUAAUGACCUAAACAGUGAGGCGUAAGCUUGGUGGUAUUAAAAGAGUGGAUGGUAACAACCUCAUUUAUCGACCUGAUAGAAAAUAUGGUGAUAAGAAAACUUACUGGAAGUGUGAAAUAAGCAUGUAAAGCCAGACUGCAUACUACACUAGAAAAUAGCACAUCAGUUUGUAAAUCUUUUCAGUGAGCAUCGUCAUCCCUAUCAGUCCUCAAAAAGCAAAGUUUGCCAAGCUAUGGAGAAUAUAAAAGAGGGAGCCUCGGGUUCACAGCAGUCUUUGGGAGCAUUAAUGACAGAUUCUUUAGCUAAUUUGGGUAAUAGCUGUUGUUCUCUCAUGCCCUCUUUUCCAAAUUUAUUUUAGAAGCUAGAGGCAAAAGAAGAAUCAACCCUUCCUAUCCCUCCAAAAGAUGCAGUUGUGUCGUUCCUGAUGAGUACAGCUUUCUCGAAAAUGAAAGUGCAAUGGAAGGUUUGACUGAACAUUUAUUUGGGCAGCAGGCAGAAUAUUCCACCUUCUGCUCUUGGAUACCGGUUGUCUCCAGCCUUCACCCUACACAUGCAACCACACUGGACAGUCCCAUGACCAUGUCUGUCCAGCUCAGAUCUUUGAAUCUUGACUUGGAGCCAGCAGUCCUUGUUGGCCAUCAUGCUUAUCCUAUCGACCAGCCUUCCAUCUGAGUGCCUCCAAGUGUUCCAUCUCUAAGCUGUCUGCUUUAUUUGUUUUUGGUUCAGUUAUUAGAAAUUUAUUUCCUCUGUUAGGCUAUUUUAACUUUUCAAAUGACAGCCUUUGGUGACUCUUAAAUAUAAGACAGAACUUUUCUAUUUCCUGCCAUCAGGAACAACUAAAGGUAAAAAGAAAUGUGCUUCUGAGAACCUAGAUGCUUGACCAAUCAGAAACCAAACUUCUCGACUUUAUUUACUUCCUCUCCCCUUCUCAUUGGAUUUC
ensembl:lncRNA